UAAGGCUGCUGGGAACAAUUUGGGGGCAAUUAGCACCAAUUUGGGGCCCACUUUGGCCUCUCGGGCACCACUUUGGUUCCCUGAGCGCUGUUUUGGGGCGAUUUUAGGGCCCCAGGCACUGUUUUGGGGCCCCAGGCACCGUUUUGGGGACAGUUUUGGGGCUUCUGGGGACAAUUUGGGGGCUCUGGGCACCACUUUGGGGCUCUGAGGCACCAUUUGAAGUCCCCAUGCACAAUUUUGGGGAUAAUUUUGUGGGUUUUGGGACAAUUUGGGGGUGUUGGGGACAAGUUAGGAGAGUUAGGGACAAUUUUGGGGCGCCAGGCACCAUUUUGGGGCCCACUUUGGCCUCUCGGGGACCAUUUUAGGUCCCUAAGCACCGUUUUGGGGACAAUUUGGGGGAGUUUGGGACAAUUUAGGGGUGUUGGGGACAAUUUGGGGCCCACUUUAGCCUGCUGGGCACUAUUUUGGCUCCCUAAACUCUGCUUUGGGGAUGAUUUGGGGAAGUUAGGGACAAUUUCGGGGCACUGGGCACCAUUUUGGGGCCUUCCAAAAUGGAGGCCUCCCAGGAGCCAUUUUGUUGCCUUGAACACUUUUGGGGACAAUUUGGGGACGUUUGGGACAAGUUAAGGCUGCUGGGAACAAUUUGGGGGCAAUUAGCACCAAUUUGGGGCCCACUUUGGCCUCUCGGGCACCACUUUGGUUCCCUGAGCGCUGUUUUGGGGACAAUUUGGGGACGUUUGGGACAAUUUAAGGCUGCUGGGAACAAUUUGGGGGCAAUUAGCACCAUUUUGGGGCCCACUUUGGCCUCUCGGGCACUGUUUUGGCUCCCCAAGCAUUAUUUUGGGGACAAUUUGAGGCUGUUGGGGACAAUUUGGGGAUGCUGGGGACAAUUUGGGGGCACUUUGACCUCUUGGGCACCAUUUUGGCUCCCUGAGCACUGUUUUGGGGAUGAUCUGGAGACGAUUUGGGGAUGAUGGGGACAAUUUGGGCACCUUGAGGACAAUUUUGGGGACAUUAGGGACAA
rnacentral:lncRNA from 1 species